rnacentral:ncRNA from 1 species
GAGAUAGAGGCGCGGUAUCCAUCAGUAACCUCCCGCACGGCCAGGCAGCCGCGGGACGCGAAAGGGGCCACCGCCGAAGUUUCGGAAAAAUGCCUGUUUUUCCGGUGCUGGGUCGGCAGAGAACAUCUGCCGGACUGUCACAUGUUUUCUUGUGAAGCGCUAUCA